GCACACACACGCACACACACACACACACACACACACACACACACACACACACACACACACACACACACACACACACACACACACACACACACACACACACAAACAGACACACACAGUGUGUUCAAAAUAAUAUGGUUCUGCUGUUCUUACUGAACUGGUUCUGCUGUUCUUUAUUACAUGGUACUACUGGUCUUACUGACCUGGUUCUGCUGGUCUUAAUGACCUGGUUCUGCUCUUCUUGCUGACCUGGUUCUACUGGUCUUAAUGACCUGGUACUACUGGUCUUAUUGACCUGGUUCUGCUCUUCUUACUGACCUGGUUCUAGUGUUCUUAAUGACCUGGUUCUGCUCUUCUUAAUGACCUGGUUCUAGUGUUCUCAAUGACCUGGUUCUGGUGUUCUUAAUGACCUGGUUCUGCUCUUCUUACUGACCUUGUUCUAGUGUUCCUAAUGACCUGGUUCUGCUGGUCUUAAUGACCUGGUCUCGGUGUUCUUAAUGACGUUGUUCGGCUCUUCUUAAAGGGAUACUUCACCCAUUCAGAACCGGCGUUCUAUCAUUGUAAAAUCGCUAUUGUAAUAUAUAAAAAACGUUUUUUUUCCCUCAGUCUAACCCAGUCUUCCCUUUGCCCAGCUUUCCUGAUCUAAUUUUCCCCCGAGAUGACGUCAAAAGACGCGUUUGACGUCAUGUCAGGAGAACUUUGCUUGCCUGCUAGAAGGGCCGAGGACUACAAACCACUGGUUCCGCAAAUUUGUGAGCCCACCAAUAAUGAAUGAGGGGGGGCGGGAGCUCUUGACGAGAUGUAAACACAAUGUCCGCCGUGUUUCUUCGCCGCUUAGCUAGAGAACAAAAUGUCAACGUCAAACAGCCAAAGUGGAUUUUGAAAAUCUAUUAUUGGAUUCGGACAUUCAGGGCUAUUAGUACGAGCCAGAAUACAGCCAGGAAGAAUUGACGAAGAAUAGAGGGGGAGGCUGCUGCUGCGGCGGCUGCAGCUGAACAAGCCUUGCCUGUUGCCGAGGACGAGGAGCCGGAGCGCGCCGGUUUGCUCUGUUCGCCUAUAGACACUGACACAGAGUCCCUGUGCGGCAGCAAAGUUCAGCAAUGCCAGUUUCUUCUAGAAUAAAUGGCUGAAUCUGGCGAGGAUGGGGCCAUGUGUGUAACCUCUCACCCAGGCUUUACGCCUCAACUGAACAGUUGGGUAUUGGAUACAUAUUUCCGGGCCCAGAAAGUGAACUGGAAACGCCAGCCAAAGCCCGCCGAGAGAAACAGACGUCUGAACAUAGAACAUUAUCCGCUUCCUGUGUUAUCCAGGCCAUCAGAGCUAAUUACCCAGCACAAGAUGGGCACUACCGUGGCUACCAGGAGACAGUAGAUGCUCAAGAUGAGCUGUGACUAUUUCGACUCUAGCUAACGCACCCUACACGUUAUAUUUUUGUAAAUAGUUCAUAUUUUUUCCUGAAUAAAACUUCAAAUUCAUGUUGGUUGUUGUGAUUUGUUUACUAACCCAAAAGUAAACAAAAGAAAAAACUAAACAAGUUUAGUGACACUAAAGUAGGCCUACUGUAUAAGAUAAACAUUUAUUUCAACAGGGGAGAAAAGGUUGAGUACAAAUACUUGAUAUGCUGAGCUACUGUAAUUAGCAAAUGUUUUUAUGCUGUACAGUAAUAUGCAAAU